AUUGUCCUCUAACUUUCGGACAAAUUUUUCUUCUAUUAAAAUGUUAAUUAAUUGUUUCGAAGGGAACGCAUAGGAAUUUGGAAAUCCCAGAUGAGAACAGCAGACAUCAGUCUCUAUGGACAACCCAGGGGCAGUGGCUAUGCUCCGCUGCAGGAAGUGUCGUAAAGGUUUUGUAGACACAGCAUGCCUGCAUCCGAUAGUGCCUGAUGAUGACACAACGGCAGCAGGUACAUGCAGUGUCUGGCACAUGAACGUUGAUACACUGCCAGAGUGGAUACUGACGUCAGUUCACCAGGCCCAGUGGACAGUGGGGAAGCUGAACUGUGGGAACUGUGGUGCUCGCCUGGGUGGCUUCAACUUUCUCAACAACACCAAAUGCCCCUGUGGUCAGGAGUCCACCGUGCACCUUAGCAAGAGUCGGGUCGACCAGGACCACAAACGCUACCUUCAUGUGGUCAGACCGCAGACGACGAGAGGUAGGGGAGGACCGGGCUGCCUGAAGGGCGAGCCGGUGGGUUCUCACAGUGAGCAGUACAGGUCUGAAGUCGGGGAGGACUUUCUGGUUGGCUCACAGCUCUGCUGUACUUCUGUGUCCCGCCUUAACGCUGAGAGCCGACCAAUCACAACACACCCAGAUGCCUUUUUCCAGUUGGCUGACAUCAGAGCCACCCAAUCAGUUCCAUUGAGCUCCCCCAGCAUUGUUUCUCAUACGAAGUUUGGUGCGAGGGGCAGGUUGGAACCCUCCUGUAGCUCUGGCUCCCAGACUGGCCCUGUUGAAGUGACUGAGGGAGAGGUGAGGACUGGGACAGAGCAGCUGCCCUAUUCACCUGUUGUGUCCCACACCCCUCAUCUAUUUGCAACGAGUAUUAUUAGGUCGCCUACCUGCCUAUCACGUCUGACUAGAGAGACCCCUGGUUCUCGUCUUCUCUCCCUGAGAGGGCCAGGUGUCUCCCACAUCCCUGGAGAGCAGGAGGAGGAGAGAAGGGGAACCCCCACAGAGCUCCAGGCCCAGGUAGUAGCCAACAAUGCUUCUCCAGCCAGACAAAGGUUCAGCAAGAAAGAGAAGAACUGGCUGAAGAGCCAGAGGAGGAAACAGAGGAAGAAAGAGCGCUGGCUCCACUCCCAGGAACAGAGUGUGACAGGGCUGCUAACAGACAGUGAGGAGGUGGACAGAGAGGGCUACACCUGUGCUGUGUGCCUGGAUGUCUACUUCAGUCCCUAUAGCUGUCACCCCUGUGGCCACAUCUUCUGUGAGCCCUGCCUCCGCACGCUGGCCAAGAACCGGCCAGCCAACACCCCCUGUCCCCUCUGCCGCACCCUCAUCUCACACACACUCUUCCAGAAAGAGCUCAACCAGACAGCUAAGACUUUUUUCCCGAAGGUCUACCACUCACGGAAACACAACUUUCAAAAAGCCAACUGUGCUAAAUGGCCUCUUCCCAAUUGCCCAAAACGUUUCCGCAUCUUUUGGAGGUACCAGGGGCAGGUGGCUCCAGGGAGGUGGUGGCACUUUGCCCCAGCAGGCUUUGCCCUGGAUGCCCUGGACCUGGCCGACAUGCGCGGCUGGUUCUUCGAUAUUGACCUGGUCAUCAUCUACAUCCACUCUGUCAACUGGAUACUGGCCCUGCUGGUUCUUUGCUUUCUAGCAUACCUAUUCUUGUCUUGAGUGCUGUUUGUGUAUUUAGCCAGCGAUGGCUGACCUCUAAAAAUGGUACAGCUGAGGUUUCUGGGUGAUGUAGUAUUGUGCCUAAUAGUGCUUACUGCCAGGUAACUCACCUGUCACCUCCAUAUGUUAACUGGAAUCAUGAGCAGUCCUGUGGGGAACUGUGAGGUGGGUUUUUUUUUUGCAGUUGGGGAGGUCAUAUGUAUAGAAAUACCAGUACUCAAAUGAAGUUGUGUAGAUGGGCUUAUUUCAUAUUUUGUGAGAGUUUUACAUAAAACAAUUUUGGAUUUACAGUGAAAAGAUUGUAUGAGGGAUAGAAGUGAAAACGAAAAACCAAUAAUUAUUAUUGUUUAAAAAAAAUCUGGUUAGGAAAUGCACAGAGAUCUAUAAUAAUAGGCCUAUUUUGAUAGAUGUAUGACCAGUGGGCCCGCUCUGUCAAGGACUUCCCUCAGGUCAUCAACAUGAAGGUAGAAUAAUCACAUACAGUACCAGCCAAAAGUUUGGACACACUUACUCAUUCCAGGGUUUUUCUUUAUUUUCACUAUAUUCUACAUUGUAGAAUAAUAGUGAAGGCGUCAACUAGGAAAUAACAUGUGGAAUCAUGUAGAAAGCAAAAAAGUGUUAAACAAAUCAAAAUCUAUUUUAUAUUUGAGAUUCUUCAAAGUAGCCACCCUUUGCCUAGAUGACAGCUUUGUACCCUCUUGGCAUUCUCUCAACCAGCAUCAUGAGGUAGUCGCCUGGAAUAUGUUUCAAUUAACAGGUGUGCAUUGUUAAAAGUUAUUUGUGGAAUUUCUAUCCUUCUCAAUGUGUUUGAGGCAAUCAGUUGUGUUGUGACAAGGUAAGGGUGGUAUACAGAAGAUAGCAAGUCCAAGUCCAUAUUAUGGCAAGAACAGCUCAAAUAAGCAAAGAGAAAUGACAGUCCAUCAUUACUUUCAGACAUGAAGGUCAGUCAAUAGGGAAAUGUCAAGAACUUUGAAAGUUUCUUCAGGUACAGUUACAAAAACCAUCAAGCACUAUGAUGAAACUGUCUCUCAUGAGGACCGCCACAGGAAAGGGAGACCCCGAGUUACCUCUGCUGCAGAGGAUAAGUUCAUUAGAGUUAACUGCACCUCAGAAAUUGCAGCCCAAAUAAAUGUUUUGCACAGUUCAAGUAACAGACACAUCUCAACAUCAACUGGUCAGAGGAGAAUGAGUGAAUGAGGACUUCAUGGUCGAAUUGCUGCAAAGAAACCACUACUUAAGGACACCAAUAAUAAUAAGAAGAGACUUGCUUGGGCCAAGAAACACAACCAAUGGACAUUAGACUGGUGGAAAUCUGUCCUUUGGUCUGAUGAGUCCAAAUGUGAGAUUUUUGGUUCCAACCACGGUAUCUUUUUGAGAUGCAUAGUAGGUGAACGGAUUACCUCCGCAUGUGUACUUCCCACCAUGAAGCAUGGAGGAGGUGGUGUGGGUGUGCUUUGCCGGUGACACUGUCUGAUUUGAUUUAGAAUUCAACGCAUACUUAACCAGCAUGGCUACCACAGCAUUCUGAAGCGAUACACUGUCCCAUCUGGUUUGCGCUUAGUGGGACUAACAUUUUUCAACAGGACAAUGACCCAACACACCUCCAGGCUGUGUAAGGGCUAUUUGACCAAUAAGGAGAGUGAUGGAGUGCUGCAUCAGAUGAUCUGGCCUCCACAAUCACCCAAACUCAACUCAAUGGAGAUGAGUUGGACUGCAGAGUGACGGAAAAGCAGCCAACAAGUGCUCAGCAUAUGUGGGAAGACUGUUGGAAAAGCAUUCCAAGUGAAGCUGGUUUAGAGAAUGCCAAGAAUGCACAAAGCUGUCAUCAAGGCAAAGGGUGGCUACUUUUAAAUAUAUUUUGAUUUGUUUAACACUUUUUUGGUUACUACAUGAUUCCAUAUGUGUUCUUUCAUAGUUGUGAUGUCUUCACUAGUAUUCUACAAUGUAGAAAAUAGUACAAAUAAAGGAAACCCCUUUAAUGAGUAGGUGUGUCCAAACUCUUGAUUGAUAAUGUACAUCUCAUAUAACUGUAAACGUUUUAUUCAAUAUGCACUACAUGACCAAAAGUAUGUGGAUACCUGCUCGUCGAACAUCUCAUUGCAAAAUCAUGGGGAUUAAUAUGGAGUUGCCCCUUGCUUCUAUAACAGCUUCCACUCUUCUGGGAAGGCUUUCCCCUAGAUGUUGGAACAUUGCUGUUGGGUCAAGGGCGUUACUGAGGUCGGGCACUAAUGUUGGGCAAUUAGGCAUAGCCAAACCCAGAUUUGUCAGAGGGACUGCCAGUAAAGUGUGAUUCAUUACUCCGGAGAACGAGUUUCCACUGCUCCAGAGUCCAAUAAUGGAGAGCUUUACACUACUCCAGCCAACGAUUAGCAUUGCACAUGGUGAUAUUAGGCUUGUGUGCAGCUGCUCAGCCAUUGAAACACAUUUCAUGAACAGUUCUUCUGCUGGAGUUGCUUCCAGAGGCAGUUUGGAACUUGGUUGUGAGUGUUGCAACCCAGAACAGAUGAUUUUUACGCUCUACACGCUUCAGCACUCAGCGGUCCCGUUCUGUGAGCUUCUGUGGCCUACCACUUCAUGGCUGAGCUCUUGUUGCUCCUAGACGUUUCCACUUCACAAUAACAGCACUUGACCGGGGCAGCUCUAGCAGGGAAGAAAUUGGACAAAAUUACUUGUUGGAAAGGUGGCAUCUCUAUGAGGCGCUACAUUGAAAGACCCUGAGCUCUUCUGUAAGGCCAUUCUGCUGCCAAUGUUUGUCUAUGGAGAUUUUAUACACCGAUUUUAUACACCUGUCAGCAACAGGUGUGUGUGAAAUAGCCGAAUCCACUGAUUUGAAAGGGUGUCCACAUACUUUUGUUUAUAUAGUGUAUUUUAGUACUGUUGCAAUUUUGUGUGUUGCAGGGACUCAUUGUAAUAUUUUGUCUUACCAGUGUGUCAUUCAGUGUAUUACCAAUGAUAGACAUCUUAUAUACAUUUUACAGAACAAAUUGCCAAAUCUCUGACCCGCUUGCUUUGGAGUCGUCGACGCCUCAACAGUUAACGGGAUGCCGGAGCAGUGACAAAUGGUUGGCUCAGGCUCCCC